GGCUGGUUAGCUCAGUCGGUUGGAGCGUGAUGCUGAUAACACCAAGGUCAUAGGUUCGAUCCCCGUUCGGUCC
rnacentral:tRNA from 1 species